rnacentral:rRNA from 1 species
ACGAACGCUGGCGGCAGGCCUCACACAUGCAAGUCGAGCGCCCUUUCGGGGGAGCGGCGGACGGGUGAGUAACGCGUGGGAAUAUGCCCUUCUCUACGGAAUAGCCUCGGGAAACUGAGAGUAAUACCGUAUACGCCCUAUGGGGGAAAGAUUUAUCGGGGAAGGAUUAGCCCGCGUUGGAUUAGGUAGUUGGUGGGGUAAUGGCCUACCAAGCCGACGAUCCAUAGCUGGUUUGAGAGGAUGAUCAGCCACACUGGGACUGAGACACGGCCCAGACUCCUACGGGAGGCAGCAGUGGGGAAUCUUAGACAAUGGGGGCAACCCUGAUCUAGCCAUGCCGCGUGAGUGAUGAAGGCCUUAGGGUUGUAAAGCUCUUUCAGCUGGGAAGAUAAUGACGGUACCAGCAGAAGAAGCCCCGGCUAACUCCGUG